CCCUGCGGAGUGCUUACUAUGCCAUCUCGAACCAUGAUCCCGGCUUGCUGGGAGAUUAGUGGCGAACCGGUGAGUCACACGUGAGUAACCUGCCCUUAUCUCUGGGACUGGCCUGGGAUACUGGGUCUAUUACCGGAUGUGACUCCUCAUCGCGUGGUGGGGGGUGGAUAGCUUUAUUGUGGUUUUGGAUGGACGCGCGGCCUAUCACCUCGUUGGGGAUGUAAUGGCUCUGCCAGUGUCACAACUGGUACCCCGUCUGACAGGGUGACCAGUCACCCUGUGACUGAGACACGGACAAGACUCCUACGGUAGGCAUUCCUGGGGAAUAUUGCACCAUGGUGGCAAGUGUGAUCCCCCUACACCGCCUGAUGGAUCACGGCCUUCGGGGUGGUAACCUCUUUCGUGACGGAAGACACUUGAACUGACCGUACCUGCCCAAUACUCUCCCGCUAUUCUCUUGCCAUCAGCCCCGGUCAU
rnacentral:rRNA from 1 species